rnacentral:rRNA from 1 species
GACAGAGGGUGCAAGCGUUGUUCGGAAUUACUGGGCGUAAAGCGCGUGUAGGCUGCUCGGAAAGUCGGAUGUGAAAGCCCUGGGCUCAACCUAGGAAGUGCAUUCGAAACUUCCGAGCUGGAGUGCUGGAGAGGAAGGCGGAAUUCUCGGUGUAGAGGUGAAAUUCGUAGAUAUCGAGAGGAACACCGGUGGCGAAGGCGGCGUUCUGGACUGCAGCUGACACUGAUGAACGAAAGCCAGGGGAGCAAACGGG